rnacentral:rRNA from 1 species
UACGUAUGGGGCAAGCGUUAUCCGGAUUUAUUGGGCGUAAAGCGCGCGUAGGCGGAUCGUUAAGUCAGGUGUGAAAUCCGGGGGCUCAACCCGCGGCCUGCAUCUGAAACUGGCGGUCUUGAGUCUGGUAGAGGAAAGUGGAAUUCCUAGUGUAGCGGUGAAAUGCGCAGAUAUUAGGAGGAACACCAGUGGCGAAGGCGGCUUUCUGGGCCACGACUGACGCUGAGGCGCGAAAGCUAGGGGAGCAAACAGG